GACAGAGGGUGCAAACGUUGUUCGGAAUUACUGGGCGUAAAGCGCGUGUAGGCGGCUUGGCAAGUCGGGUGUGAAAGCCCUGGGCUCAACCUAGGAAGUGCACUCGAAACUGCUUCGCUUGAGUGUCGGAGAGGAAAGCGGAAUUCUCGGUGUAGAGGUGAAAUGCGUAGAUAUCGAGAGGAACACCUGCGGCGAAGGCGGGUUGCUGGGCCGACACUGACGCUGAUGCGCGAAAGCCAGGGGAGCGAACGGG
rnacentral:rRNA from 1 species